rnacentral:rRNA from 1 species
GUCGCGUCUGCCGUGAAAUCCUCUGGCUUAACUGGGGGCGUGCGGUGGGUACGGGCAGGCUUGAGUGCGGUAGGGGAGACUGGAACUCCUGGUGUAGCGGUGGAAUGCGCAGAUAUCAGGAAGAACACCGGUGGCGAAGGCGGGUCUCUGGGCCGUUACUGACGCUGAGGAGCGAAAGCGUGGGGAGCGAACAGGAUUAGAUACCCUGGUAGUCCACGCUGUAAACGUUGGGCACUAGGUGUGGGGGCCACCCGUGGUUUCUGCGCCGUAGCUAACGCUUUAAGUGCCCCGCCUGGGGAGUACGGCCGCAAGGCUAAAACUCAAAGGAAUUGACGGGGGCCCGCACAAGCGGCGGAGCAUGCGGAUUAAUUCGAUGCAACGCGAAGAACCUUACCAAGGCUUGACAUGUGCCGGUCGGCUCCGGAGACGGGGUUUCCUCCUUGUGGGGCCGGUUCACAGGUGGUGCAUGGUUGUCGUCAGCUCGUGUCGUGAGAUGUUGGGUUAAGUCCCGCAACGAGCGCAACCCUUGCCCUAUGUUGCCAGCACGUGAUGGUGGGGACUCGUGGGGGACUGCCGGGGUUAACUCGGAGGAAGGUGGGGAUGACGUCAAAUCAUCAUGCCCCUUAUGUCUUGGGCUUCACGCAUGCUACAAUGGCCGGUACAGAGGGUUGCGAUACUGUGAGGUGGAGCGAAUCCCUUAAAGCCGGUCUCAGUUCGGAUUGGGGUCUGCAACUCGACCCCAUGAAGGUGGAGUCGCUAGUAAUCGCAGAUCAGCAACGCUGCGGUGAAUACGUUCUCGGGCCUUGUACACACCGCCCGUCACGUCACGAAAGUUGGUAACACCCGAAGCCCAUGGCCUAACCGUUUUUGCGGGGGGAGUGGUCGAAGGUGGGAUUGGCGAUUGGGACGAAGUCGUAACAAGGUAGCCGUACCGGAAGGUGCGGCUGGAUCACCUCCUUUCUAGGGAG